CCACGACCACUUGCUCAGUGCACUUGAUUAAUGUCUGUCAGUGCAUUGAGCCGACUUUCCAAUGGUAAGCAUUUAGAUCUCCUUAACUUGCCUCCAUUUGCAUGAUGCGGUAAUUUGCGAUUGACCCAGUCUCUGUGAACCUCUCGCCGGAGGUUCGAUACAGAACUGUCGUGUGAUAUUCAAUUUCUUACAUAUUCUGAUUUGCUUCGAUUUAUCAUUACAUUUCCCACAAAAGUAUACUUGAUGGUGCUUGACUAACAUGGCUUGCCAUCAGACAUAGGUAACUUGUUUUAACAACCUGCACUGCCGCCAGGUUUUGGAUCCGCUGGGUUUUGCAUUUCAUCGGUCGGUACGUCUACUUCUAUCCCAGUCAUACCCCUCCCGAUGAUUACACCUUAUCAUGCCUAGAUAGUAAUUGACGCCUUUGGCGGUUGAUAUUACCUUUAUCACCAAGAUCUCUGAGGACCUCUCAUUCAAACAUUAUAUUCAUUGUCAUUUUUCAACGAAGUCAAACUAACGAAUAUUCGUUGCAGAUUGU
rnacentral:lncRNA from 1 species